rnacentral:rRNA from 1 species
GAUGAACGCUAGCUACAGGUUUAACACAUGCAAGUCGAGGGGUAGCACGGAGGAAGCUUGCUUCCUUGGGUGACGACCGGCGCACGGGUGAGUAACGCGUAUCCGACCUACCCAUUACUCGGGCACAGCCGCUCGAAAGAGUGAUUGAUUCCCGAUAUGUCAUUAGAGUAGAUUUAAUGAUGAUAGAUUUAUCGGUAAUGGAUGGGGAUGCGUAAGAUUAGGUAGUAGGCGGGGUAACGGCCCACCUAGCCGACGACCUUUAGGGGUUCUGAGAGGAAGGUCCCCCACACUGGUACUGAGACACGGACCAGACUCCUACGGGAGGCAGCAGUGAGGAAUAUUGGUCAAUGGGCGGAAGCCUGAACCAGCCAAGUAGCGUGAAGGAUUACAGCCCUACGGGUUUUAAACUUCUUUUAUAUAAGAGUAAUGUGCACUACGUGUAGUGUAUUGCAAGUAUUAUAUGAAUAAGCAUCGGCUAACUCCGUGCCAGCAGCCGCCGUAAAAC